UACAUGCAUGUCGAACGAGAAAGCACUUCGGUGCGAGUACAGUGGCGGACGGGUGAGUAACCCGUAGGAAUCUACCCUAGUAGUGGGGGACAACUCGAGGAAACUCGAGCUAAUACCGCAUACGCUCUAUGGAGCAAAGUGGGGGAUCUUCGGACCUCACCCUAUUAGAGGAGCCUGCGUUAGAUUAGCUAAUUGGUGAGGUAAAGGCUCACCAAGGCUACGAUCUAUAGCUGGUCUGAGAGGACGAUCACCCACACUGGAACUGAGACACGGUCCAGACUCCUACGGGAGCCAGCAGUAGGGAAUCUUGGGCAAUGGGCGAAAGCCUGAUCCAGCGAUGCCCGUGUGCGAAGAAGUCCUUAGGGUUGUAAAGCACUUUCAGUUGCGAAGAUUAACCUGCGGUUUAAUACGCCGCGGUCUUGACGUUAAC
rnacentral:rRNA from 1 species